rnacentral:misc_RNA from 1 species
GUGAAUCAUCGAAUCUUUGAACGCACAUUGCGCCCCCUGGUAUUCCGGGGGGCAUGCCUGUCCGAGCGUCACAAACCCCCUCAAGCCUGGCUUGGUCUUGGGCUACGCGAGCUUCGCGAGCCUCGAAUCUAGUGGCGCGACCAGUACGGCUUCUAGCGGAGUACCUUGCUCGCUACGACGCCUGCUGCGUGAGCGGUCCAAAAGCUCUUUUAUACGAGUUUGACCUCGGAUCAGGUAGGAAUACCCGCUGAACUUAAGCAUAUCAAUAAGCGGAGGA